GACGGAGGAUGCAAGUGUUAUCCGGAAUCACUGGGCGUAAAGCGUCUGUAGGUGGUUUAAAAAGUCUACUGUUAAAAAAUUGAAGCUUAACUUCAAAAGAUGCCCGUAGAAACUUUUUAAAACUUGAGGGAUGGGUAGGGGUAGAGGGAAUUUCCAGUGGAGCGGUGAAAUGCGUAGAUCUUGGAAAGACCACCAAUGGCGAAGGCACUCUACUGGCCAUGACUGACACUAAGAGACGAAGCUAGGAGCAAUG
rnacentral:rRNA from 1 species